AUUGAACGCUGGCGGCAGGCCUAACACAUGCAAGUCGAACGAGUGGCGGACGGGUGAGUAAUGUCUGGGAAACUGCCUGAUGGAGGGGGAUAACUACUGGAAACGGUAGCUAAUACCGCAUACCAUCGGAUGUGCCCAGAUGGGAUUAGAUAGUAGGUGGGGUAAAGGCUCACCUAGGCGACGAUCCCUAGCUGGUCUGAGAGGAUGACCAGCCACACUGGGACUGAGACACGGUCCAGAAUCCUACGGGAGGCAGGAGUGGGUAAUAUUGCGCAAUGGGGGCAAGCCUGAUGCAGCCAUGCCGCGUGGAUGAAGAAGGCCUUCGGGUUGGAAAGUACUUUCAGCGGGGAGGCGUUACCCGCAGAAGAAGCACCGGCUAACUCCGUGCCAGCAGCCGCGGUAAUUC
rnacentral:rRNA from 1 species